rnacentral:lncRNA from 1 species
AUAGUUCAUGAUUGUGUAUAAGUGAAGGUUACUCGAUUCUGGGGAAAUGUGUGUAAAGUUUAAUGUAUAAACAAUCUAUGUUUAGAUCUUCCGCAAACAGUUGUAGAAUGAUUGUACCGAAUCCGCGGCGAUUUGGGACCCGGAUUCGGGGACGUCACAGUUGGUAUCAAAGCCAUAAGCAUGAAUUUGCAAAGAGCCCCGAGCCUUUAUCUGGUGACAUCCCUUUAAGGGAAGGCACCGAAGCCAGACUUUCCGUAGGGGACGCCGAGCGAGUCGGUGGCAAGUUGAUAGGUACCCUUGUGAGGUGCUAUGGUUGGAAGCACCAUGAGCGUCAC